rnacentral:rRNA from 1 species
CGUAGGGUGCAGGCGUUAAUCGGAAUUACUGGGCGUAAAGCGUGCGCAGGCGGUUUGCUAAGAGAGAUGUGAAAUCCCCGGGCUUAACCUGGGAACUGCGUUUCUAACUGGCAGGCUUGAGUGUGGCAGAGGGGGGUGGAAUUCCACGUGUAGCAGUGAAAUGCGUAGAUAUGUGGAGGAACACCGAUGGCGAAGGCAGCCCCCUGGGCUAACACUGACGCUCAUGCACGAAAGCGUGGGGAGCAAACAGGAUUAGAUACCCUGGUAGUCCACGCCCUAAACUAUGUCAACUGGUUGUCGGGGAAGCAAUUCCUUGGUAACGAAGCUAACGCGUGAAGUUGACCGCCUGGGGAGUACGGCCGCAAGGUUA